rnacentral:rRNA from 1 species
AGAUGGUGAGGUAACGGCUCACCAUAGCAAUGAUGUCUAGGGGUUUUGAGAGGAAGGCCCCCCACACUGGGACUGAGACACGGCCCAGACUCCUACGGGAGGCAGCAGUGAGGAAUAUUGGACAAUGGAUGGAAAUCUGAUCCAGCCAUGCCGCGUGCAGGAAGACGGCCUUAUGGGUUGUAAACUGCUUUUAUACGGGAGCAAUAAGGGUUACGAGUAAUCCGAUGAGAGUACUGUAUGAAUAAGGAUCGGCUAACUCCGUGCCAGCAGCCGCGGUAAUACGGAGGAUCCGAGCGUUAUCCGGAAUUAUUGGGUUUAAAGGGUGCGUAGGCGGCCAUUUAAGUCAGCGGUGAAAUUUUGCAGCUUAACUGUAACAGUGCCGUUGAUACUGUUUGGCUAGGAUUUGGUUGUAGUGUGCGGAAUGUGUGGUGUAGCGGUGAAAUGCUUAGAUAUCACACAGAACACCGAUUGCGAAGGCAGCACACUAAGUCAUUAUUGACGCUGAGGCACGAAAGUGUGGGGAUCAAACAGGAUUAGAUACCCUGGUAGUCCACACUGUAAACGAUGAUAACUCGCUGUCGGCGAUACACAGUC